ACUCAUAUAUCUUAUUAAAAGUACUAGGUUCUUACCCUAGAGAUGUAUUAUACUAUGGGUG
rnacentral:tRNA from 1 species